rnacentral:tRNA from 2 species
GCCCAGAUGGUGAAAUUUGGUAUACACAAGGGACUUAAAAUCCCUCAACUUAAUUAAAAUAAGUUAUGCGGGUUCAAAUCCCGCUCUGGGCA